ensembl:misc_RNA Metazoa_SRP Metazoan signal recognition particle RNA
GCUGGGUGUGCUGGCGCACGCCUGUAAUCCCAGCUACUCAGGAGGCUGAGGCAGGAGAAUUGCUUGAACCCAGGAGGUGGAGGUUGCAGUGAGCCAAGAUUGCACCACUGCACUCCAGCCUGGGUGACAGAGCAAGACUCUCUCUCAA